GACGAACGCUGGCGGCGUGCUUAACACAUGCAAGUCGAACGGAAAGGCCCUGCUUUUGUGGGGUGCUCGAGUGGCGAACGGGUGAGUAACACGUGAGUAACCUGCCCUUGACUUUGGGAUAACUUCAGGAAACUGGGGCUAAUACCGGAUAGGAGCUCCUGCUGCAUGGUGGGGGUUGGAAAGUUUCGGCGGUUGGGGAUGGACUCGCGGCUUAUCAGCUUGUUGGUGGGGUAGUGGCUUACCAAGGCUUUGACGGGUAGCCGGCCUGAGAGGGUGACCGGCCACAUUGGGACUGAGAUGCGGCCCAGACUCCUACGGGAGGCAGCAGUGGGGAAUAUUGCACAAUGGGCGGAAGCCUGAUGCAGCAACGCCGCGUGCGGGAUGACGGCCUUCGGGUUGUAAACCGCUUUCGCCUGUGACGAAGCGUGAGUGACGGUAAUGGGUAAAGAAGCACCGGCUAACUACG
rnacentral:rRNA from 1 species